rnacentral:rRNA from 1 species
UUAAGCGACUAAGCGUACACGGUGGAUGCCCUGGCAGUCAGAGGCGAUGAAGGACGUGCUAAUCUGCGAUAAGCGUCGGUAAGGUGAUAUGAACCGUUAUAACCGGCGAUUUCCGAAUGGGGAAACCCAGUGUGAUUCGUCACACUAUCAUUAACUGAAUCCAUAGGUUAAUGAGGCGAACCGGGGGAACUGAAACAUCUAAGUACCCCGAGGAAAAGAAAUCAACCGAGAUUCCCCCAGUAGCGGCGAGCGAACGGGGAGCAGCCCAGAGCCUGAAUCAGCAUGUGUGUUAGUGGAAGCGUCUGGAAAGGCGCGCGAUACAGGGUGACAGCCCCGUACACAAAAAUGCACAUACUGUGAGCUCGAUGAGUAGGGCGGGACACGUGGUAUCCUGUCUGAAUAUGGGGGGACCAUCCUCCAAGGCUAAAUACUCCUGACUGACCGAUAGUGAACCAGUACCGUGAGGGAAAGGCGAAAAGAACCCCGGCGAGGGGAGUGAAAAAGAACCUGAAACCGUGUACGUACAAGCAGUGGGAGCACGCUUAGGCGUGUGACUGCGUACCUUUUGUAUAAUGGGUCAGCGACUUAUAUUCUGUAGCAAGGUUAACCGAAUAGGGGAGCCGAAGGGAAACCGAGUCUUAACUGGGCGUUAAGUUGCAGGGUAUAGACCCGAAACCCGGUGAUCUAGCCAUGGGCAGGUUGAAGGUUGGGUAACACUAACUGGAGGACCGAACCGACUAAUGUUGAAAAAUUAGCGGAUGACUUGUGGCUGGGGGUGAAAGGCCAAUCAAACCGGGAGAUAGCUGGUUCUCCCCGAAAGCUAUUUAGGUAGCGCCUCGUGAAUUCAUCUCCGGGGGUAGAGCACUGUUUCGGCAAGGGGGUCAUCCCGACUUACCAACCCGAUGCAAACUGCGAAUACCGGAGAAUGUUAUCACGGGAGACACACGGCGGGUGCUAACGUCCGUCGUGAAGAGGGAAACAACCCAGACCGCCAGCUAAGGUCCCAAAGUCAUGGUUAAGUGGGAAACGAUGUGGGAAGGCCCAGACAGCCAGGAUGUUGGCUUAGAAGCAGCCAUCAUUUAAAGAAAGCGUAAUAGCUCACUGGUCGAGUCGGCCUGCGCGGAAGAUGUAACGGGGCUAAACCAUGCACCGAAGCUGCGGCAGCGACGCUGAUGCGUUGUUGGGUAGGGGAGCGUUCUGUAAGCCUGUGAAGGUGUGCUGUGAGGCAUGCUGGAGGUAUCAGAAGUGCGAAUGCUGACAUAAGUAACGAUAAAGCGGGUGAAAAGCCCGCUCGCCGGAAGACCAAGGGUUCCUGUCCAACGUUAAUCGGGGCAGGGUGAGUCGACCCCUAAGGCGAGGCCGAAAGGCGUAGUCGAUGGGAAACAGGUUAAUAUUCCUGUACUUGGUGUUACUGCGAAGGGGGGACGGAGAAGGCUAUGUUGGCCGGGCGACGGUUGUCCCGGUUUAAGCGUGUAGGCUGGUUUUCCAGGCAAAUCCGGAAAAUCAAGGCUGAGGCGUGAUGACGAGGCACUACGGUGCUGAAGCAACAAAUGCCCUGCUUCCAGGAAAAGCCUCUAAGCAUCAGGUAACAUCAAAUCGUACCCCAAACCGACACAGGUGGUCAGGUAGAGAAUACCAAGGCGCUUGAGAGAACUCGGGUGAAGGAACUAGGCAAAAUGGUGCCGUAACUUCGGGAGAAGGCACGCUGAUAUGUAGGUGAAGUCCCUUGCGGAUGGAGCUGAAAUCAGUCGAAGAUACCAGCUGGCUGCAACUGUUUAUUAAAAACACAGCACUGUGCAAACACGAAAGUGGACGUAUACGGUGUGACGCCUGCCCGGUGCCGGAAGGUUAAUUGAUGGGGUCAGCGCAAGCGAAGCUCUUGAUCGAAGCCCCGGUAAACGGCGGCCGUAACUAUAACGGUCCUAAGGUAGCGAAAUUCCUUGUCGGGUAAGUUCCGACCUGCACGAAUGGCGUAAUGAUGGCCAGGCUGUCUCCACCCGAGACUCAGUGAAAUUGAACUCGCUGUGAAGAUGCAGUGUACCCGCGGCAAGACGGAAAGACCCCGUGAACCUUUACUAUAGCUUGACACUGAACAUUGAGCCUUGAUGUGUAGGAUAGGUGGGAGGCUUUGAAGUGUGGACGCCAGUCUGCAUGGAGCCGACCUUGAAAUACCACCCUUUAAUGUUUGAUGUUCUAACGUUGACCCGUAAUCCGGGUUGCGGACAGUGUCUGGUGGGUAGUUUGACUGGGGCGGUCUCCUCCUAAAGAGUAACGGAGGAGCACGAAGGUUGGCUAAUCCUGGUCGGACAUCAGGAGGUUAGUGCAAUGGCAUAAGCCAGCUUGACUGCGAGCGUGACGGCGCGAGCAGGUGCGAAAGCAGGUCAUAGUGAUCCGGUGGUUCUGAAUGGAAGGGCCAUCGCUCAACGGAUAAAAGGUACUCCGGGGAUAACAGGCUGAUACCGCCCAAGAGUUCAUAUCGACGGCGGUGUUUGGCACCUCGAUGUCGGCUCAUCACAUCCUGGGGCUGAAGUAGGUCCCAAGGGUAUGGCUGUUCGCCAUUUAAAGUGGUACGCGAGCUGGGUUUAGAACGUCGUGAGACAGUUCGGUCCCUAUCUGCCGUGGGCGCUGGAGAACUGAGGGGGGCUGCUCCUAGUACGAGAGGACCGGAGUGGACGCAUCACUGGUGUUCGGGUUGUCAUGCCAAUGGCACUGCCCGGUAGCUAAAUGCGGAAGAGAUAAGUGCUGAAAGCAUCUAAGCACGAAACUUGCCCCGAGAUGAGUUCUCCCUGACUCCUUGAGAGUCCUGAAGGAACGUUGAAGACGACGACGUUGAUAGGCCGGGUGUGUAAGCGCAGCGAUGCGUUGAGCUAACCGGUACUAAUGAACCGUGAGGCUUAACCUU